rnacentral:rRNA from 1 species
UAGGGAAUCUUCCGCAAUGGACGCAAGUCUGACGGAGCAACGCCGCGUGAGUGAAGAAGGAUUUCGGUUCGUAAAACUCUGUUGUUAGAGAAGAACAGCGCAUAGAGUAACUGUUAUGCGUGUGACGGUAUCUAACCAGAAAGCCACGGCUAACUACGUGCCAGCAGCCGCGGUAAUACGUAGGUGGCAAGCGUUGUCCGGAUUUAUUGGGCGUAAAGCGAGCGCAGGCGGUCAAUUAAGUCUGAUGUGAAAGCCCCCGGCUCAACCGGGGAGGGUCAUUGGAAACUGGUUGACUUGAGUGCAGAAGAGGAGAGUGGAAUUCCAUGUGUCGCGGUGAAAUGCGUAGAUAUAUGGAGGAACACCAGUGGCGAAGGCGACUCUCUGGUCUGUAACUGACGCUGAGGCUCGAAAGCGUGGGUAGCAAACAGG